AUAGGGGGUCCAACCCAGCCUGGGCGGGAGACGUGAGCCCGAGUCCCGGCGCACCACCCAGCUGGGCGCCCCGUCUUCGGGAGGCGAGUCGGAACCCAGGCUGUGCUCUGGAAAGCGGUGCGGGGAGCCAGAGCCACUUCGGGGAUGCAACCAUAGUCAGCGCCCUGAGGGCAUCCCCAGGAGGUAAAGCCUCUCUCUCCCCUUCCAACCCAACCCAAGGUCUUCUCAGGUCUCAAAGGGCAACAAGGGAAGGGUGGGAGGUAAUCUGUGAGGUCCCUUUCUAAGGAGCCUUUCCGUUUUCUCUGUGGCUUUCUGGGGAUCAUAUGAACUAAUCCUUGGUUUUGCCUGCUACUCUGGACACUUGCUUCCUUUAAAGGCAAGUUUUGUGUCUAUUUUAAAAAAAUGUUUCCUACUUAAUAUAAUUUUGUUGCCAGAGAGUGCCCAGUGGCUGGCCAUCACUAAUUGCUUGGAGCUCAGCAAGGCGACCUGCUAGGUCCCCUCUGAGCUGAGAUGGACCAGAGUGCAAAAUCCCAGGGUUGGGGUGUGGUGAAGAAAAGGGAGUACCACACCCUCUGCUCUCCCUCCCCUUUCCUUGUCACCUGCUUGGGAAGUCGCCCAUUCAGCCUUUGACUGAGCUCCUAGCCCAAGGGACCUUCUCUGAGAACAGAGGAAAGCUGUUGUAAGACUUAGAGAGUAGGGUAAAGGAUGAGUAGGGAUUCAUGCCCAGAACAUGGAGGGGUGGAAGAAUGGUGAAGUUAAGGCAGUGGAGAAGGUGGGGGCAGGUUGUUGGGAAAGGGCCUUGAGUUCAGAUUAUUUGUGGAAGCAAGAUUCUUCACAUUUCACAGUGCCUUUGACAUUUUCUAGUAUUUUCAAAACCACAGAUCUCUCUGAUAAGUACUCACUUAGCCGUGGUGGACAAUGGGUAUAUUUAACUGUAGUGUAUAAGCCACAAAAAAACGUAAAUAUAUAUUUAAGAUGUUGUGCAUACUUGGUGAGAAUAUCCUAUCCCUGUCAGAGAGCUGAAAAUACAUUUUCCAGGGUGCCUUGUGAAGUUUGUGCUUAUCACGUGUGGUCAUUUUCGACUCUAAUGAAAUUUUAGAGUGUACUAAGGGUGGUCUUUACAGCUCUUGAGAUAUUAACCCUCUUAUGAAAUAGUACUCAAAGGAUAGGGGGAAAGAUGGAUCAUUGUAUUCUAGGAAUAACGAAUACAAGCCAAGACCCAGAUAAAGAUACUGGGCCACAAGAUAAAAGUG
rnacentral:lncRNA from 1 species